rnacentral:rRNA from 1 species
UACGGAGGGUGCGAGCGUUGUCCGGAAUCAUUGGGCGUAAAGGGCGCGUAGGUGGCCCGCUCAGCGUGCGGUGAAAGCUCGGGGCUCAACCCCGAGUCGGCCGUGCGAACUGGUGGGCUGGAGCACUGUAGAGGCAGGCGGAAUUCCGGGUGUAGCGGUGGAAUGCGUAGAGAUCCGGAAGAACACCGGUGGCGAAGGCGGUCUGCUGGGCAGUAGCUGACACUGAGGCGCGACAGCGUGGGGAGCAAACAGG